rnacentral:rRNA from 1 species
AGUGAACGCUGGCGGUAGGCCUAACACAUGCAAGUCGAACGGCAGCACAGUAAGAGCUUGCUCUUACGGGUGGCGAGUGGCGGACGGGUGAGGAAUACAUCGGAAUCUACUUUUUCGUGGGGGAUAAUGUAGGGAAACUUACGCUAAUACCGCAUACGACCUACGGGUGAAAGCAGGGGAUCUUCGGACCUUGCGCGAUUGAAUGAGCCGAUGUCGGAUUAGCUAGUUGGCGGGGUAAAGGCCCACCAAGGCGACGAUCCGUAGCUAGUCUGAGAGGAUGAUCAGCCACACUGGAACUGAGACACGGUCCAGACUCCUACGGGAGGCAGCAGUGGGGAAUAUUGGACAAUGGGCGGAAGCCUGCUCCAGCCAUGCCGCGUGGGUGAAGAAGGCCUUCGGGUUGUAAAGCCCUUUUGUUGGGAAAGAAAAGCAGCAGGUUAAUACCCCGCUGUUCUGACGGUACCCAAAGAAUAAGCACCGGCUAACUUCGUG